rnacentral:rRNA from 1 species
UAAGCGGAGGAAAAGAAACUAACAAGGAUUCCCCUAGUAACUGCGAGUGAAGCGGGAAAAGCUCAAAUUUAAANUCUGGUGGUCUUUGGCCGUNCGAGUUGUAAUUUAGAGAAGCGUCUUCCGCGCUGGACCGUGCACAAGUCUCCUGGAACGGAGCGUCGUAGAGGGUGAGAAUCCCGUCUUUGGCAUGGACACACCAGGGCUUUUGCGAUGCGCUCUCGAAGAGUCGAGUUGUUUGGGAAUGCAGCUCAAAAUGGGUGGUGAACUCCAUCUAAAGCUAAAUAUUGGCGAGAGACCGAUAGCGAACAAGUACCGUGAGGGAAAGAUGAAAAGCACUUUGGAAAGAGAGUGAAACAGUACGUGAAAUUGUUGAAAGGGAAACGCUUGAAGUCAGUCGCGUCGUCCGAGACUCAGCCUCGCCUCGGCUUGGCGUACUUCUCGGCCCGACGGGUCAGCAUCAAUUUCGCCUCUCGGAUAAUGGCGAGGGAAAAGUGACACCUUUACGGUGUGUUAUAGUCUCUCGUCGCAUGCGAGGGUCGGGAUUGAGGAACUCAGCACGCGCCCUCGGGCGUCGGGGCUUUCGCCCACGAUACGUGCUUAGGAUGUUGGCGUAAUGGCUUUAAACGACC